ACAAAGCCUCCACUACUCCACCUUUCCAGUUUUCAGAAAUGGAUUUUGAGCCACUUGGAUUCUUCAUUCCCCUGGUACCAUGUAGCCUCUUCACUUGGCCGUUUUCUGUCCUGCCAGAGAUACACUCCCCUUGCUCAGAGAAUUUUAACUAAAUCAACAGUAGCAUUGUAUCUGGAAAGGACGCUUGUACUAGGUGACUUCUGAGCUCUUCUAGCUUCAAAUUUAUGAUCCUAUGAUAUUGCCCUGCUGAUUUACACUGCAAGACUCCAGAGGAAUGAAGAGGAGCUGGCUGGAAGGAUGCUCCUAGGACUAUGGACUAUAUGGGCUAUGGUCCCUUGUUUUGGAAGCAGGAGAGUUACUAUAGCCCACAAGUUUUUGGAUAUCUCCAGGAGAUUCAUAAAAUCUGAGAGUUGGAAGAGAUCUUGUGGCCAUCUAAUCAAACUCAUACAUGAAAAGAACUCCCACUAAAAUAUACAAAUGGUUGUCCAAUUUGCAUUUGAAGAACAUCAAGAAGAUGGAACUCCAGACACAUUACAUAUGUGUGUGUAUUUGUAUAUACUUAUAUAUGCACAUCCUGUCUCCUCUGAUAGAAUGUAAGCUCCUUGAGGGCAGACACUUUUCAUUUUUGUCUUUAUAUCCUCAGUGCCUUGUAUUGUCCCUAGCUCUUUGUAGGUGAUUAA